rnacentral:rRNA from 1 species
AUGAACGCUAGCUACAGGCUUAACACAUGCCAGUCGCGGGGCAGCAUGGGGGUUGCUUGCAAUCCCCGAUGGCGACCGGCGCACGGGUGAGUAACGCGUAUCCAACCUGCCCUUCACCACGGGAUAACCCGGCGAAAGUCGGACUAAUACCGUAUGUUGUCCAUUGACGGCAUCCGAUUUGGACGAAAGGUUUGGCGGUGAAGGAUGGGGAUGCGUCCGAUUAGCUGGACGGCGGGGUGACGGCCCACCGUGGCGACGAUCGGUAGGGGUUCUGAGAGGAAGGUCCCCCACACUGGAACUGAGACACGGUCCAGACUCCUACGGGAGGCAGCAGUGAGGAAUAUUGGUCAAUGGGCGUAAGCCUGAACCAGCCAAGUAGCGUGCAGGAUGACGGCCCUAUGGGUUGUAAACUGCUUUUAUGCGGGGAUAAAGUGGCCCACGUGUGGGUUUUUGCAGGUACCGCAUGAAUAAGGACCGGCUAAUUCCGUG